rnacentral:rRNA from 1 species
GGCGCACGGGUGAGUAACGCGUUUGUACCUACCUCUGUCUGGAGAAUAGGCCGAAGAAAUUCGGAUUAAUGCUCCGUAACACCAUGAUGAGGCAUCUCGUCAUGGUCAAAGCUCCGGCGGUCAGAGAUGGACAUGCGUAACAUUAGCUUGUUGGUGAGGUUACGGCUCACCAAGGCUACGAUGUUUAGGGGGUCUGAGAGGAUGGUCCCCCACACUGGUACUGAGACACGGACCAGACUUCUACGGAAGGCAGCAGUGAGGAAUAUUGGUCAAUGGGCGAAAGCCUGAACCAGCCAUGCCGCGUGAAGGAGGACAGCCCUACGGGUUGUAAACUUCUUUUGUACGGGAAGAAACACUUCUACGUGUAGAAGCUUGACGGUACCGUACGAAUAAGCAUCGGCUAACUCCGUGCCAGCAGCCGCGGUAAUACGGAGGAUGCAAGCGUUAUCCGGAUUCAUUGGGUUUAAAGGGUACGUAGGCGGAAGAUUAAGUCAGUGGUGAAAUCCUGCAGCUUAACUGUAGAACUGUCAUUGAUACUGAUCUUCUUGAAUAUAGUUGAGGUAGGCGGAAUGUGUAAUGUAGCGGUGAAAUGCUUAGAUAUUACACAGAACACCGAUUGCGAAGGCAGCUUACUAAACUAUGAUUGACGCUGAGGUACGAAAGCGUGGGGAGCGAACAGGAUUAGAUACCCUGGUAGUCCACGCUGUAAACGAUGAUCACUCGUUGUUGGCGAUAUAGUGUCAGCGACUGAGCGAAAGUAUUAAGUGAUCCACCUGGGGAGUACGAUCGCAAGAUUGAAACUCAAAGGAAUUGACGGGGGCCCGCACAAGCGGAGGAACAUGUGGUUAAAUUCGAUGAUACGCGAGGAACCUUACCUGGGCUUAAAUGUAGAACGACGGAUCGGGAAACUGAUCCUUCUUCGGACGGUCUGCAAGGUGCUGCAUGGCUGUCGUCAGCUCGUGCCGUGAGGUGUCGGGUUAAGUCCCAUAACGAGCGCAACCCUCAUCAUUAGUUGCCAGCGGGUAAUGCCGGGGACUCUAAUGAAACUGCCGGUGUAAACCGAGAGGAAGGUGGGGAUGACGUCAAGUCAGCACGGCCCUUAUGUCCAGGGCUACACACGUGUUACAAUG